GCCAUCGUGGCGCAAUGGUAGCGCAUCACCUUCCUACGCGGGGAUGGAACCCUGAGUACGGGUGAGGUGGGGGUUGCGGGUUCGAUCCCCGUCGUUGGUA